rnacentral:lncRNA from 1 species
CGGAAUAUGGUAUACAAUACGUGUUACAAGUAGUUAUGACUAUGAUGCAUAUUUUCAAUUGAACGGAACACGUUUAUUCCAAUAACCACCGAACAAUAAAAGUAUGUUAUAUUUAAAAAAACCUCUCUUUUAUAAAACAAACAUAGGCUCUUGCCCAUUAACUAAUUUUACACGUUUGUUGCUUAACUUAAUACUACCAUUACCAUAAUUUACUCCCAAAUUAAUCAUAAAUUCCCUGCGAAUACGUACCAAGAAUGCGAAUUUUCAAUACCUAAAUUGGGGUAGGUUACUUUGCACGAAACAUUAAAUGCAUUACAUUCCGAGAACAAAUUGAGUAGUUUAUGCCUUUCUAAAAAAACUACAUUAUAAAUACAGAAAAUAAAAAAAGCGGUCUCCUUUUUUAAAAGAUUUUACACCAUUAUCUGUAUGAAUAAUAUCAAAAUAUGGUGUUAACAAAUGCUUGAACAUUUUCUUCUAAAGAUGGAAUAUAUACUAAUAGUUGAUGUAUUUAGGUUGCAUCGACAUUACAAAGCCAUAGUUGAUAGCUCCGCUAUUACAAAGAUGCAAAUGUGUAAUGAUAGUUGUAUAGACUCAUCUUCAAUAUAGACAAUUUAAGAUAUGACAGCCAUUUUACGAAGAUGGUCCAUAAACUUUUGCAGGUUUACGUCGUCCGUUAAAACCGUUUCAGAAUCCUUUGACAUUGGUGAAAAUUGAGAGGACUUGUUAAAAGAAACAGAAGGAUUAAUUCUUGAUAGUAGGAAUCUCGCUUGACUACCUCCCUGAUCGCAAACAAUAAAUCGUGGAAUAGGGAAGCGAUCAGCCAGUAAUUCAGUAACUUCAAGACGCGGAGCUAAAAGAAGCUCCUUCAAAUUAACAUACUCUGGUUGCUCUUGGUAACCAGCAUUUCUCCAUUGAGCAAUAGUUGAACCAUGGAAAAUCAGUAUAUGAAAAUAGGUGUCAAGUAGCAAAAUCACAUCUGGUUUAAUGGAAACAGAAUCCAGUAAUACAGGUACCCCUUCAGGCUCGUUAAAGCUAUAGGAUUGAAGAGUGGGUUGUAUCAUAAUUAAAGAAUCAUUGACAUCCGCAACGUUCAACAUAUGACGAUAGAAAGAAGUUUCAUCGGGAGAAUUAUUAAAGAUAUGCAAAAAUGGACUUCUCCUCAAGUGAAAAAUAAACUGUGGAUAAAGUGUAAAGUUUGGAAGUAAACGGAAACUGGAAGGGUCUUCUUUUCUAUAGUCUGCAAAGUGUUGACAAAGCCUAAUCAGGUUUCUAUCAAUCCAUCUAGUUACGCUCAUUUCAUCCUCGGUUUGACAUUUGAACAAAGCCAUGCGAGCGACUAUAGCAGCAGCAGCUUCCUGAUCAAACGACUCCGAAAUACUUUUUGCAUUGCCGGUAAUAAAUGAGCGAGAUAUGGUAGUAACACGAAGUCGAUAAGUUCCCGAAGAAUGUUGGUAAUAUGUCAAAAACUGAAUGAAAGCUUGAGUAGGCCUUUGCGAAUUUGGAUUCCCCAUCUCUUUACCCAAAUCGAAAUAUAGAGCGUAUGAAGAUUUAGGUGAAAUCGCUGCCAUUUUCCAAGAAUUCGUUUUGCUUAUGCCAAUUUGAGUAUCACUAAUAUUAGUACCUUUUUUAUUUUCACCAACUCCAUUUCCAAUCAUUCCACAGAUAGUGAGGCCUUUAGACGUUAAGACUUCCAAAUUCGCCAUAAACCCCAUUUUUAGAUAACCGGAAGCAUCAACACUAAAUAAUCUUUGAAAGCUCUGCUUAAAAAUGGAAGUUGUAAAUGAGUCGGAUAGCACAAUGGCACCACCAGUAUUGUUAACAAGGUUUUCCAUUUCCAUUAUACCUACUUGAUCAAGGCAACCAGCAAAUAAAUCUAGAGCAUGCCCUUGGUUGGAGAGGCGUUCAGCUAAAGAAGAAUAGAACUUUUUAGAUUUUUUGAAAUGCUUAGCUUUGUCAUUUGCAAUUUCAGAGUGUGAUCGCAUUGGUUCCUUGAGUUCUGUUGAAACAACUUGACCCAGGCCAACCGUACAAGGACCACCACAAAAUAACUCAAUUCUCGAGCCACAUUUAGGGAAAGCAAUUCCGAGUAAAUCGGAAGCUAUCUUCACCGCAGCACCAGUACAUCGAAGUUGCCUUUGCCCAGCUGGUACUUCGAGACAAUCCGGCUGAAGUUGUUCAAGAAUGUUAAGCAAGUGCAUUUCACAUUUCUGGACAGGCAUAAGAAAGCGAGAGGCUGCACCAAGAUUGAGGGUAAUGCCUGUACCAGAAAUUUUUGCUUUAGAAGAAGAAGAGCGAAUUUGAUUACCACUUAACGCUAAUAGUUGUUGAAGCUUCAUAGUGCUGUAAUCAGCAGCGGGUUGAAAGACAUACGAUUUCGGCAUAGCUUCAAAUCCUAUUUCAUGAACCUGGAUUAAAGACCCGUAGGUAAUUAAACCAACAAUGGCAUCUGGAGGGAGCAAACUAAGACUAACUAUGACUGCAUCUUUGAGAGCAGUGAGUUCCGACUCAUCAACUGCGGUGUCCAUAACAAAUAAAAACACAGGAGGAGAUUUUACAGGCUUUGAAAGAACAUACUCCAUGGUAGUACUUUGACUGAGCAAUUCCAACGGAAGACUGUUGCUGGAAAUAUCGCUAUAUUGAGCAGGAAGAGGAUUUCGCUGAAAACAAAACGGACCUAGGUUCCAAAUAUUAGUGAUUUGAAUAUAUUUAAGGGUUAAAAAUGCUGUAAUAACUUGAACUAAAUACUCGAAAUUUAUACCACUCAUCACUUAAAAUACGAAGCUGGUAACAGACAUCAAGUAUACGCUUCAAAAUUUAGCUUGAACCAAGACUUACAUAUCCAGAAUCUAGCACGCAGAUCGACAUGACUUAUAAAAUAAUUUAGUAUAUUGUAAACCUAGGUGAAUACACACGUACCAAUAAGGAUUUAGUACAGCGCGACACGGGGCUCUGCAUGCAACUGGAUCAUACUGUUCUAUUGUCAUCCUUUCAUUUUCAUGUAAAGGAGUGUACAUAGCAGCAAUUGGAAUGACUGCUCUAGCAUUUUCAGCAGGUGUUGCUGAAAACGUAUUCCAUGAAAGUCGUAUCCCUAAACCAUAAGGUUAGCAAAGUUCUCCUCUUAUAAAAAAAAGAAAUACCAUCUUGAUCUUCUAUGUCCUCAAAAUUCAUUUUCCCCUUAAGUUAACAGGACAUUCAAACUUCGUCCAAAGAAGUAAAAAAACGUAUGCUGGUAUUAAUUAGUGGACAUGCAAAUGGGUUAAGAGGGUACACAUGCACCCAUUAACGGGCUUAACGAAUUUUAGCGUGAGAAUAAGUAAACAAAUUAACUAGAAUACUAAUUGCAUUUACGAAUGAAUGAAUAAGUAUUCGAAGUAGUAGAGAGAUAUAUUUUCUACCAGCUGAACCACUAACUUCUCAAAAUUUAAUAUAAAUCCAAUAUGCACUAGCAAAAUAAU